GCGCCGCCCCGGAAGACUGGGCUGCACCAGCGCCGCGCGGGCCGCGCCCCCUGCCCUUCUGGCUGCGAGUGCCGGCUUGCCUCUGGUCGCCCGCCACUCUUGGGCCUCCUCUGCUAGCUUCCCCCUUCCCUGCGGUUUUCAUGCACAGCUGCCUCAGCCCCACUCCUGUGGAGUUCACAGUCCAGAUGUGGAUAGGCUUUACCCUAUUCAUCCAUACAAUUUGGAUCAUGAGCCCAGAGCCUUAAGCUACGUGUCAAGAGGACCCCGGGAUAUUGGAUUCAGCAUUGCUUUUUUUGACCUUACACCCUCCUGAGGCUUGCCUGGACGUUCUGUCACCUGACCCUGGUGGCUCCAGACAGAACCAGGACGUUUAGAGCAUCUUUUCAGGUCAUAGGAUCCUUACCAGAGGGAGAUGGGUUGGGGCAUCUAUUCUAGUCCCUACCUGCCGGAAUAGAUGUCAGGUGGCUCCUCACGACUCUACAUCAUUAGUGUGUACAAUAGACACAGCAGUAUCUGAACUUCCAUAGCUCUAUGUAAAGCACUCCAUUGCAUUUUAAUAAUUUCCAAAGACCAAGCCUUUUUUAUGUAAGGCAAAUAAAUGUGAUUGAUUCAGAUUUCCGGAAUUACUGGGCCAUGCUGCUGCAAAAAACAGGUGCAUGUGGAACCAAGCCUGAGGAAGUUAUUGGUGAGGGAGGAAAAAAGAAUUACUGUUUAUCCAGUUUUUAAAGAUGAAAAUAUUUUCUUUAAUGCCCUGACUAAAUGAAACAACCACCUAGACCGAAGCAGGAAACAUUCACUGGACAUUUCAGGCACUAUGCUAGGCUCUACAGUGAAGCAUUCACAGUCUAGUGAUGUCUAUAAAUAAAACCACAAUGCCAACUUUUAAAUUCCUAUGAGGAAUAUAAUUGUAAUGCCACUAUAGCUGCUUCACUACCACAGGGGUCAUUCUCUCCCUAAAGACAGAUCAAUAGAAGAAAUCAAAUUACAGUCCAAAGGAAGCUAGGUAGGCAGAAAUAGCAUAGGGAUUCAUAAUGAAUAAAGUCAUUAAUCCAUUUAUUCAUUCAAC